rnacentral:rRNA from 1 species
CCUACGGGUGACAGCAGUGAGGAAUAUUGGUCAAUGGACGCAAGUCUGAACCAGCCAUGCCGCGUGCAGGAAGAAGGUGCUAUGCAUUGUAAACUGCUUUUAUACGGGGGUAAUUCCAGAUACGUGUAUCUGGCUGAAAGUACCGUAUGAAUAAGGAUCGGCUAACUCCGUGCCAGCAGCCGCGGUAAUACGGAGGAUCCGAGCGUUAUCCGGAUUUAUUGGGUUUAAAGGGUGCGUAGGCGGUCAGGUAAGUUAGCGGUGAAAUGCCCCCGCUCAACGGGGUGAAGUGCCAUUGAUACUGCCGUGCUGGAAUGCGGAUGCCGUGGGAGGAAUGUGUGGUGUAGCGGUGAAAUGCAUAGAUAUCACACAGAACACCGAUUGCGAAGGCAUCUCACGAAGCCGCGAUUGACGCUGAUGCACGAAAGCGUGGGUAUCAAACAGGAUUAGAUACCCUUGUAGUC